rnacentral:lncRNA from 1 species
AAGUUUUUGAAGCAGUCAAGGCUUGUUUCACUCCCGUCGCAGCAAGUUAAAUUAAAUGUGAAGAGACAUACAUAUUGAAUUAAAAAUCGUUGAAGAUGUACACACAUCUGAUGUAGUUGAUAUCUUGUAUUGUUAUAUCUUUUUUGCCGUUAUGUAAUACCUCAUGAACAAUCAAUUCGAUUUAGUUACUUUUACAAGGAGGUUACCUUACCUCUUCUAUGUAUGUUCCGUAUAUUCCAUAUUGAUUUUUGGCAAUACGACUAUCAGCUUUGUUGAGAUCUCUCAAGCAACAUAACAUAUUAGCGGCUGUACUUGUUUGUGUUGGAGAGGAUACUCAUUUUUUAACUUAAUAGUUCUGUAGAAACUUGCAUUAAGAAGUAGUUAGAGGUUUGGUCCCUGUUUUGAGGCUAUUUCCGAACUGUCUCGAUUACUCAAUAUAGAUAUUACCUGGUUUUCGAACUGUCACAAUGAAAUACAGAUAAGCUGUGCGCAAUUGCGCAUUGAUAAACAAGAUUUUAAUUUUUUCUAUAUCAAAUAUUGAUAAUUUUCGAUGUCAAAUAUAAGAGUCAUUAUAAUACCUACGUGGCGGAAAAAGUUUCAAAAUUAACAUCUAUCCAAACAUAACUUAACGGUAUUCAAAAUCAUUUUCAGUUCAUCACCUGAUUGUCUAUCCAAACAUAGCUUAGCUGUAUUCAAAAUCAUUUUCAGUGAUUAUCUCGUGAUUGUAAGUUUUUAUAUGUUUAAAUAUAUGAAAACAUCCUAUUCAAAAUUUGACAUGGUUAUGCUUUUAUUUAAAGAAUUAGAAAUCUGACGAUUAUAUUUGAACAAACUAAUCUCCACUAAAAUAAAAAUUUCUCAAAAUAAAAUAAUACUCCCUACAUCCCAUUUUAAGUGUCCACUUUGCAAUUUUCACACAUAUUAAGAAACAAUUAAUGUAAUGUUUUUAUCAUCAUUUUUCCACAACUAAUCAGCUUAGUUUUCAUACAUAUUAAUUACGUAUCUCAUUAAUUAUCGUGUAUUGGACCUUCUCUCAUUUCAAAUUACACUAUACAUUCAUAAUGCUUCUAAAUAUAUUUAUGAGGGCUUGUUGGUUGUAUUUAAUACUAUAUUGGAAAUAGUAUAAAUUUUAAAUUUUACAUGGGUUAAAGAGUAUGACACAUAUUAUGGGAUUUUUUUUUUUACAAAAUGGACACUUAAAAUGGGAUGGAGAGAGUAACAAUAUCAUUUGAUACAAAUUCAUUUUUGGAUCACUACAGAUAUAUGUGAAUUCUUCGUAGUAAGGGGAGUAUUCAUGAUCAUCUUCUCCUAUGAAAUUGCUGAUACUAAUAUUAUAAAUUCACAUAUUUUUAAAACAUAUUCGUAAUGCUUGAUUUUAUUUAUUUUUAACUAAUUUUAAUGGGAGCUCGCGAAGCGCGGGCAUAAUUCCCUAGUGCACAUAAAGAAUCCUACAAAAGCUCAAGCAUGUUAUCCACAAAAAACCUAUUAGCACUAAGCAGAGAAAUUCAAAAAAUAAUAUGAGCGUUACAUAUAUCCUAGGGGGCUAGUGCUGUGGACUGUGGUCAUCGUAAAUCACAAACCCAGCGCCUGUUGGUUUUCUUGAACCCAAAUGGCCAAAAAUUCGAAAGCUGUCGAUCAAGGUCCAGAUGAAGAACAUGCAGCAGAGCCUCAAGAAGAUGAAUCACUUGAUGAGACAGAGGAUGAACAAGAGUCUGGUGAUGAUGACUCCCAAAAGUCCCUCCCUGCUUUGACUCUUGUUCCCAAACCCCCUGAGCCCAAAGCGCCUACUAGCUCCAAACCUAGCCAUACAAAGCACACUGUUUCCAAGAUUCAUAAGAAGCGGUCCGCGGAGAGGGCUGAUAAGGUUUCAAAGAAGAGGAAAGUGGACAAGGGUUUGAGAAACAAGGAUAGGAGUAUUAAGAAGAAGGAUAAGAAAAGGGUGAGUGAGGCUAAUGGGAAUGCAAGUGUGGUAUUGGAUUUUUGGGGGUUGUUUCCGCGCUUAUGUGCCUCACUCGAAACAGAGGCAGUGGGGGAUUUGAAAGAGAUUUUGGUAAGAAAUGUCAAGGAAAAUGUGGAGGGGAUGAUUCGGAGGAUGGGUGAGGCCAAGGCAAGGGAACUCGAGGAGGGGUGGAAAGCUGUGCAUGAAAAGGAAGGGAAGUUGUAUGUUGAGAGGACACGUUUGAUCCAAAUGCAAGCUGAAGAUGCCGCGGAGUCGCUCAGUAGGACUCUUCGUCGAGGAGGUUAAAAUAUUUAUGAUGCAUCUUGUGAAAAGUUAAUUUAUUUUGUUACCGUGAAUGAUUGGAUUUUAGGUUUGAGAAUUAAAACUUGUGGUUAUCUCAGAAACUUUUAAGCUCAAGUUGUAAUUUGGUAUUGCAAUUAUGGAUCCCUGCAUUUCAGUUUGUGUAUUAUCUAGUCGUUUUUAUUAUUUCCGCAUAACCUCUUACUAGUAAAGUUACCUGAUUUAUUAAUUGUUUACUUUGUAAGAGUAGAAUAUCCUCUAGACUUAGUAAGGGAUCAGAAAUUUCUUAAAUUGUCGCCAGUUGGAUGAAAUUGUAUACUUGCUUAUGUCGCUUGCCUGUCACUUUCAACAUUGUUCAAAUUUCUUUGAUAAUGCUGUUCCAAGUUUUCUAGACCGCUGAUUUCUGCAAAAAUGCCUUUCACAGCAUGAAGCUACCUAGAUAGGGAGUCCACACAAGUUAGGUGUAUGACUCAUUUCAGUCUUCAGAACUAAACUAAAAAUAUAUACAGAAAAAAAACCAUACUGUUUCUGGAGAUUUUGCGUUCUUUCUUUGCUCAGUCGAACUAUAUAUAAUAUAAUAUUUCUCUCAGUUCUGUUUUACUCUAGCGGUUUCUAUUUCCCUCUUUGAUCUCCUUAGUGUUUAUAAUGUACUAUGAUUAUAACAUUACCACAGGAUCAGGGUAUAAGGAAUAAAACAUUUUCUACAUAUCUAUGGUUCACAUUUUCUGAUAGUACGAGAUAACUAACAAAGUCACAGGGAUUAUCAGCUUGUUCAUCCAUCCACCUACAUGUUUACUUUCAUUUGACAUUUAUUUGCAUAUAUAAUCUCUUUAUAAUCGUAUUCUAUGGCUCUAUGUUGUACUGUCCGUCUGUCCCCGUAACUCUCUUUCAUCUUAAUUUAGUGUUCUGAUCCCUGAUGAAUAUAGGCUGGGUGCAUGAAUAAGACACCCAACUUAAUUUUCUGUCCCUGAUGAUCUCUUUAAAUUAAUGACCUCUCUGCUGGUGCCGCCGAGCUGCUAUUCAGAUUGCUAUUUGCUCACAGAUUGAUGCUGCAAAGCCCGUUGAAGAAGUUUUUGAAGCAGUCGAGGUUUGUUUCACUCCCGUAGCAGCAAGUUAAACUAAAUGUGAAGAGACAUACAUAUUGAAUUAAUCUUUGAAGAUGUUCACACAUCUGAUGUAGUUGAUAUCUUGUAUUAUUAUAUCUUUUUUGCCGUUAUGUAAUACCUCAUGAACAAUCAAUUCGAUUUAGUUACUUUUACAAGGAGGUUACCUU